rnacentral:rRNA from 1 species
UGGGGAAUAUUGGACAAUGGGGGCAACCCUGAUCCAGCAAUGCCGCGUGUGUGAAGAAGGUCUUCGGAUUGUAAAGCACUUUCGACGGGGACGAUGAUGACGGUACCCGUAGAAGAAGCCCCGGCUAACUUCGUGCCAGCAGCCGCGGUAAUACGAAGGGGGCUAGCGUUGCUCGGAAUGACUGGGCGUAAAGGGCGUGUAGGCGGUUUACACAGUCAGAUGUGAAAUCCCCGGGCUUAACCUGGGAGCUGCAUUUGAUACGUGUAGACUAGAGUGUGAGAGAGGGUUUGUGGAAUUCCCAGUGUAGAGGUGAAAUUCGUAGAUAUUGGGAAGAACACCGGUGGCGAAGGCGGCAACCUGGCUCAUGACUGACGCUGAGGCGCGAAAGCGUGGGGAGCAAACAGGAUUAGAUACCCUGGUAGUCCACGCCUGUAAACGAUGUGUGCUAGAUGUUGGGUAACUUUGUUAUUC